rnacentral:misc_RNA from 1 species
AAGUCGUAACAAGGUUUCCGUAGGUGAACCUGCGGAAGGAUCAUUACCGAGAUUUUUUUCUGCUUGCAGGAAAUCUCCCACCCUUUUGUGUAACGAAAUUUUGAUAUACUUUGGUAAAGCGCUUGUUGAGCAUACGUGCUAAGCAACCAGUGACUGACUUUUUUUUAUGUUAGUGGCUGUGUCUUUGCCAAAGGACCCCAAAUAUAACUCUAUUUUAUAUAAUUAUUUUGUCUGAGUUUAUAAUUUUUAAAAUAAACAAAACUUUCAACAACGGAUCUCUUGGUUCUG